rnacentral:rRNA from 1 species
UGGGGAAUUUUCCGCAAUGGGCGAAAGCCUGACGGAGCAACGCCGCGUGAGGGAUGAAGGCCUCUGGGCUGUAAACCUCUUUUCUCAAGGAAGAAGACCUGACGGUACUUGAGGAAUAAGCCACGGCUAAUUCCGUGCCAGCAGCCGCGGUAAUACGGGAGUGGCAAGCGUUAUCCGGAAUUAUUGGGCGUAAAGCGUCCGCAGGCGGCCUUGUAAGUCUGUCGUUAAAGCGUGGAGCUUAACUCCAUUUCGGCGAUGGAAACUACAAGGCUUGAGUGUGGUAGGGGCAGAGGGAAUUCCCGGUGUAGCGGUGAAAUGCGUAGAUAUCGGGAAGAACACCAGUGGCGAAGGCGCUCUGCUGGGCCAUAACUGACGCUCAUGGACGAAAGCCAGGGGAGCGAAAGGGAUUAGAUACCCCUGUAGUCCUGGCCGUAAACGAUGAACACUAGGUGUCGGGGGAAUCGACCCCCUCGGUGUCGUAGCCAACGCGUUAAGUGUUCCGCCUGGGGAGUACGCACGCAAGUGUGAAACUCAAAGGAAUUGACGGGGGCCCGCACAAGCGGUGGAGUAUGUGGUUUAAUUCGAUGCAACGCGAAGAACCUUACCAGGGUUUGACAUCCUGCGAACCCCUGAGAAAUCGGGGGGUGCCUUCGGGAGCGCAGAGACAGGUGGUGCAUGGCUGUCGUCAGCUCGUGUCU